UGAAUACAUUUAGAUGCAACAAAAAUUGUUUCAUAUUGAUUUAACAAAAUAAACUGGUUGUAUUCUUUUUUAGAAUUAACAGGUCACAGAGAUGAAAAUCUAGACACAGGAUCAUGUAGAGAACUUGUACAGAAUAUUCAGCCUGUGGAGACCCCAUCAGACGUCUCUGCAGGUCACAGUGAUGAACAUCUAGACACAGGAUCACAUGGAGAACAGAAUAUUCAGCCAUCAGAUGUAUUUGUAGGUGAGUGAUCUAUGGUAUAAGCUUCACAGUUAGAAAACUCACAUUCUAAAAUGUUUUCCCCCUAUGUAAAUGAUGAGCCUCAGUACAGACGGAUUGUAAUAAUAAAAUCUAUUUGGUUCACAUCCUUA